rnacentral:rRNA from 1 species
UGAGGAAUAUUGGUCAAUGGGGGCAACCCUGAACCAGCCAAGUCGCGUGAAGGAUGAAGGUCUUAUGGACUGUAAACUUCUUUUAUACAGGAAUAAAUUGGGGGACGUGUCCCCUUUUGCAUGUACUGUAUGAAUAAGGAUCGGCUAACUCCGUGCCAGCAGCCGCGGUAAUACGGAGGAUCCGAGCGUUAUCCGGAUUUAUUGGGUUUAAAGGGUGCGCAGGCGGGAUGUUAAGUCGGCGGUGAAAUUUUGCAGCUCAACUGUAAAAGUGCCUUCGAUACUGGCUUCCUUGAGUGUAGAUGAAGUAGGCGGAAUUUGUGGUGUAGCGGUGAAAUGCUUAGAUAUCACGAGGAACUCCGAUUGCGCAGGCAGCUUACUAAACUACAACUGACGCUCAUGCACGAAGGCGUGGGGAUCAAACA